rnacentral:rRNA from 1 species
UACGGGGGGAGCAAGCGUUGUUCGGAUUUACUGGGCGUAAAGGGCGCGUAGGCGGCCAGCACAAGUCAGUUGUGAAAUCUCCGAGCUUAACUCGGAAAGGUCAACUGAUACUGUGCGGCUAGAGUGCGGAAGGGGCAACUGGAAUUCUUGGUGUAGCGGUGAAAUGCGUAGAUAUCGGGAGGAACACCAAUUGCGAAGGCAGCUCGCUGGGGCGUGACUGACGCUGAGACGCGAAAGCGUGGGGAGCAAACAGG